rnacentral:rRNA from 2 species
GAACGAACUCUGGUAUUGAUUGGUGCUUGCAUCAUGAUUUACAUUUGAGUGAGUGGCGAACUGGUGAGUAACACGUGGGAAACCUGCCCAGAAGCGGGGGAUAACACCUGGAAACAGAUGCUAAUACCGCAUAACAACUUGGACCGCAUGGUCCGAGCUUGAAAGAUGGCUUCGGCUAUCACUUUUGGAUGGUCCCGCGGCGUAUUAGCUAGAUGGUGGGGUAACGGCUCACCAUGGCAAUGAUACGUAGCCGACCUGAGAGGGUAAUCGGCCACAUUGGGACUGAGACACGGCCCAAACUCCUACGGGAGGCAGCAGUAGGGAAUCUUCCACAAUGGACGAAAGUCUGAUGGAGCAACGCCGCGUGAGUGAAGAAGGGUUUCGGCUCGUAAAACUCUGUUGUUAAAGAAGAACAUAUCUGAGAGUAACUGUUCAGGUAUUGACGGUAUUUAACCAGAAAGCCACGGCUAACUACGUGCCAGCAGCCGCGGUAAUACGUAGGUGGCAAGCGUUGUCCGGAUUUAUUGGGCGUAAAGCGAGCGCAGGCGGUUUUUUAAGUCUGAUGUGAAAGCCUUCGGCUCAACCGAAGAAGUGCAUCGGAAACUGGGAAACUUGAGUGCAGAAGAGGACAGUGGAACUCCAUGUGUAGCGGUGAAAUGCGUAGAUAUAUGGAAGAACACCAGUGGCGAAGGCGGCUGUCUGGUCUGUAACUGACGCUGAGGCUCGAAAGUAUGGGUAGCAAACAGGAUUAGAUACCCUGGUAGUCCAUACCGUAAACGAUGAAUGCUAAGUGUUGGAGGGUUUCCGCCCUUCAGUGCUGCAGCUAACGCAUUAAGCAUUCCGCCUGGGGAGUACGGCCGCAAGGCUGAAACUCAAAGGAAUUGACGGGGGCCCGCACAAGCGGUGGAGCAUGUGGUUUAAUUCGAAGCUACGCGAAGAACCUUACCAGGUCUUGACAUACUAUGCAAAUCUAAGAGAUUAGACGUUCCCUUCGGGGACAUGGAUACAGGUGGUGCAUGGUUGUCGUCAGCUCGUGUCGUGAGAUGUUGGGUUAAGUCCCGCAACGAGCGCAACCCUUAUUAUCAGUUGCCAGCAUUAAGUUGGGCACUCUGGUGAGACUGCCGGUGACAAACCGGAGGAAGGUGGGGAUGACGUCAAAUCAUCAUGCCCCUUAUGACCUGGGCUACACACGUGCUACAAUGGAUGGUACAACGAGUUGCGAACUCGCGAGAGUAAGCUAAUCUCUUAAAGCCAUUCUCAGUUCGGAUUGUAGGCUGCAACUCGCCUACAUGAAGUCGGAAUCGCUAGUAAUCGCGGAUCAGCAUGCCGCGGUGAAUACGUUCCCGGGCCUUGUACACACCGCCCGUCACACCAUGAGAGUUUGUAACACCCAAAGUCGGUGGG